UCCGGGGUCGUCUAAUGGUAGGACAGCGGCCUUUGAAGCCGUGAAUUGGGGUUCGAAUCCCUGCCCCGGAA
rnacentral:tRNA from 1 species